GACGAACGCUGGCGGCGUGCCUAAUACAUGCAAGUUGAGCGCGGACGGCUGGUACUUGUACCAACUGGAUGAGCAGCGAACGGGUGAGUAACGCGUGGGGAAUCUGCCUUUGAGCGGGGGACAACAUUUGGAAACGAAUGCUAAUACCGCAUAAAAACUUUAAACACAAGGUUUAAGUUUGAAAGAUGCAAUUGCCUCACUCAAAGAUGAUCCCGCGUUGUAUUAGCUAGUUGGUGAGGUAAAGGCUCACCAAGGCGAUGAUACAUAGCCGACCUGAGAGGGUGAUCGGCCACAUUGGGACUGAGACACGGCCCAAACUCCUACGGGAGGCAGCAGUAGGGAAUCUUCGGCAAUGGACGAAAGUCUGACCGAGCAACGCCGCGUGAGUGAAGAAGGUUUUCGGAUCGUAAAACUCUGUUGGUAGAGAAGAACGUGUGUGAGAGUAGAAGGCACAUCAAGUGACGUUAACUACCCAGAAAGGAAGGGCUAACUACGU
rnacentral:rRNA from 1 species